ensembl:lncRNA
AGAGAUAUUCUGCCCCAGACUGUCAUCACUCAUUCCAGAGUUUAAUAUCCUGCGACAUCAGGAAGUUUUCCACAGUAUCUAAAUUAAAUUCUUUCUCCUGAAGCUCAGCUCCAUUUCCUUCUGAAUAGAGAGCAAACUGCCAGCCACAACCAUCUGUGCAAUAACCAGAGAUUCAUAGAUUUUUAGGAUUAUCUGAUCCAAACCCUGCUUCCUGAAGGAAACCACAUUUGUAGGUGGGCAAAUGCCUUUCGCAAGACCACACGGAGAGAAUGUGGUGCUGGUCUUAGAGUCCAAGAGAGACCCAGGCAGCUCUCGCCUGCCCCCGCCCCAAGACUGACCCCCCAUCGCCCCACACAAGGGGUCUGAGGGGCAGGGUAGGACAUGCACUGAGAAGCCUCAGGGAAGGAAAUUGCUGUUGGCUUUGAAAGUAUAUGGAAAGCUGCCCAGCCUCCCUCGUAAAGAGAGCAGGCAAAUGAGGCAUCUAUCAGAUUGGCUGGAGCACAAAUCUGUCAACAUCCCGCCAUCACCUGGCCUGGGGACACCUGACACCCGUGGACACGGCACCUUCUUAGGAGCCGUGGGCAACCAACCUCCAUAUUCCACUGGAAGAUGGACACGCCCUUUCUGAGUCAGCAACUCCCCUUCUAGGAAUUUGCCCUGCAGAUAUUCCCACGCACGGGAGACUACAGACACACAGAGAUGCUGAUGCACACACACAAUCAUUCUACACACAUACAUGCACACCUCAUGAUGGCUCCGUAAACUGCGGCUCUUCCAUACACAUCCACGGGCCACCCCAAGAACGAGUGAGUCAUCGCUUAUUGGGAGAAGUGAGGCACAGAAAGGGCACCGGAGACGCAGCCCUUUGCGUAAAGUUUUUCUUUUUAUGGGCACACCUGCGGCAUAUGAAGUCAAACUGGAGCUGCUGCUAUUGUCCACAGCAACGCGGGACCUGAGCCUCAACUGCUACCUACGCCCCAGCUAAACACUGGAUCCUUAACCCACUGAGUCAGGCCAAGGAUUGAACUCGCAUCCUCAGAGAGACAUUGUCAGGUCCUUAACCCACUGAGCCACGCUGGGAACUCCGCCAUCAUCAUUUUUGACAUGUUCACUGUGGGCAUGCACAGGAAGGACCAGAGUAGUCUGCUGAGCUCAAAAGCUGCCUCAGGGGCUGUGAGAACAAGGCAGGACCAGCAAGCUGAGCUUUCCCUGUGCCUCAGGGUUUCGAAGGGUGGCAGGGGCUGGGGCUGCCCAUCAGGAUGGAGCGGGCAGUGGGGCCAGUGGAUGCUGCUGGAAAGGGAUCCAUGCCGGUCACCUCUCCCUGAGCCCAGCAGCACCCUUCAGGGCCGGGCGCCAGCAAUACGUGGUCCAGCCAACGACUGCACAGGUCAUGACUACAGUCUCGAUCUCCAGGAGUUGGCCUGGGGACCUGCUCUGGACCCUGUAGAGCAGGACACGGGGGCCAUUGAGAGAAAGAGUGUCACUGGAGAACAGAGGGCUCCCACCACCACCCCCGGCCCCCGGUCCCCAGGUGAUCCUUAACUGCUCUGCGUAAAACUGAAACUGAGGGCCUUGGAAGAACACCAGCCCAGGCUCCUCCAGGUGGCGUCCGGUCCUGCCAUCCUCUUCUCCGCUACCUGCUGGCACGUACCUUCCUUGAGGACCUUCUGUCUCAGCUGAGAAAAUCCUCCUCACAUCCGUCCAUUCCUUCCAACUCAGGCCAUCGACUCUUUUCCUUUUUUCUGUUUUCUUUUUCACUUUUUCCAACAGAGCACCCCAGCUGGAAGCAGCCAAGCCUAAUCACAAACUUGCCUUUCUUUUUGCAGAUUAAGGCACAAUGAGAGACCAUACCAUGAGAACAGCAAAAAUCUAAAAGCCCAUCAAGAUGGUGAGCGGGUUGAGAAGGAUGUGCAGAACCAGGAGUUCCCAGAAACCGCUGACAGGAUGCGAAAGGGCACGACCACCCCUGGACUUCUGGACAGUUGACGACAGAACACGACGCAGCAAUUCCGCUCCUGGGAACUUACCCCGAGGGGAAUGAAAGCCCAUGACGGGGUGUUCAGGGCGGCUUUACCAGCAGCGGCUCCCAAGUUGGAAACAAGCCAAAGACCUCUCCAUCGCAGAGUGGUAAACAGACGGGGGCGUGUCCGCACAACGAAAUGGAGUCACACCAGAAAAAGAUAACAAGUUUCUGACGCAGAUGCAGAUCUGGACCAUUCUCAGAAGCAUGCUGACUGAGAGAGGCCCGCCGGGAACACACGUCUCUGUGUCGGAUCAAUUACACGAAGUCCAAGAACGGGCAGGAUUAGUACAGGGCACCGCAGUCAGUACACUGGUUGCUUCUGGGCAGCCACGGUCGAGGGGACAGGUGGACAUGGGUGGGGAGGAAUCACCUGGGAGGGGAGGGGGGAAUUCCUGGGAUGAAGAAAAUGCCGUAUGUCCUCGUUGGGAUGCUGGUCACAGGGGUAUACACCUAAUCACAUGCACAGGGCUGUAAACUUAAAAAUGUGAGCAUCCUACUGAAAUAGACCUCAAACCAAAAAGCGGGGUGGAGGGGUGGGGAGAACCACACCUCCCAAGGCCAGAUUUCCAGCCUGGCCCCUGCGUCCAUGUGUCCUAACCCUACACGGCACUAAUUGUACCCGCCAAGACCCCAUCGGCAAGGUGUCCUGUGCUCCAAAUGCACCCGCUUGAAGAGUGCACCCAUCCCUUAAGCAGCCGGGGGCACCAGGAAAGCGGGGGAUAAUUUAGAGCUGUUGUGAUGCGGUGGUUGAUAUGUACGGAACUGGUUUAUACACAUAACACUUCUAGGUAUGUCAUUGCCUAAUAAGGAGAAAGUUAUGCGUGUCAUUCCUCGGCCUUGGAAUUCCUGUCGGAGCAGUUUGUAGAGGCCCAGGAGGGUCUGCUUUAUCAGUGGUGGAAUUUUGUUUAUGGGGAGGAAGGUACCCUGGACCCACCUGCUGGGCUGAUGGAAGGAUUAGCUCUCGGGUGAUGGAUGCAAAGAACGGCUUAAUUGCUCCCAAAGCUGAGGUACUUGCUGCACCCUAGCUGGCCUGGGCCUCCAGACACAGCCCUGAGGAGGAGUCACUUUUGGUCUUGACCUGCCACACACCCCUAUUUCUGUCUUUCUAGGGCCGCACCCACGGCAGAUGGAGGUUCCCAGGCCAGGGGUCUAAUUGGAGCUAUAGUCACCGGCCUACGCCAUAGCCACAGCCAUGCUGGAUCCAAGCCGCACCUGUGACCUACACCACAGCUCAUGGCAACGCCGGGAUCCUUAACCCACUGAGCGAGGCCAGGGAUGGAACCCGCAUCCUCAUGGAUCCUAGUCGUGUUCGUUAACCACUGCGCCACGGCGGGAACUCCCACACAUCCCUAUUUCCGGAUGGUUAAUUAUUCUUCCCCUAUCUCUUGGUUGCAUUUCCUCCUUCUGACAACUUCCUUCUUUUUUAAUAUUAUAGUUGAUUUACACUGUUGUGUCAAUUUCUGCUGUACAGCUCCGUCGUACAUAUAUUUCCAUUCUUUUUCUCAUAUUAUCUUCCAUCAGGGUCUAUCCCAAGAGACUGGAUAUAGUUCCCUGUGCCAUAGCAUAAGGUCUCAUUGCUUAUCUAUUCUAAAUGCAACAGUUUGCAUCUACCAACCUCAGACGCCCCCGUCCAUCCCAUUCCCUCCCCCUCGGCAACCACAAGUCUGUUCCCUACGUCUGUGAGUCUGUUUCCGUUCUGUAGAGAGGUUCAUUUGUGCCAUAGUUUAGAUUUCACAUACGUGAUAUCAUAUGGUAUUUGUCUCUUUCUGACUUGACUUAGAAUGAGAAUCUCUAGUUGCAUCCAUGUUGCUGCAAAUAGCAUUAUUUUGUUAUUUUUUAUGGCUGAGUCGUAUUCCAUUGUAUAUAUGUACCAUAUCUUCUUAAUCCACUCAUCUGUGGAUGGGCACUUGGGUUGUUUCCAUGUCUUGGCUAUUGUGAAUAGUGCUGCAGUGAACAUACGGGUACAUGUAUCUUUUUGAAUUUUGGCAUUGUCCUGAUAGGUGCCCAGGAGUGGAAUUGCUGGGUAGUUCUAUAUUUAGUUUUCUGAGGUACCUCCACAGUGGUUGUACCAAUUUACAUUCCCACCAACAGCGUAGAAGGGUUCCCUUUUCUCCCCACCCUCGCUGGCCUUUGUUAUCUGUGGACUUAAUGGUGUCCAUACCUGUGGGUGUAUGAGGUGCAACCUCAUUGUAGUUCUGAUUUGCAUUUCUCUAAUAAUUGUGAUGUUGAACAUUUAUUCACGUGUCUGCUGGCCAUCCGUAUGUCUUCUUUGGAGAAAUGUCUAUUUAGGUCUUCUGCCCCCUUCUGACAAUUCCAAAGAAGCUCCCUUCUCAGGGGAGAAGGGUGAAGCCCCGGAACACUCGGCAGGAACCUGCCAAGUCCAAGCGGGGGAGAAUGACAGAGCCUGUCACCUCCUUGCUCAUUGACCCCCAGGCCCACUCUGACCCUGCAAAUUCUCCAUCUCCCGUCCUCUGGAAGUCUCUGCUCACGUGUCUGCCCAGACUCUUGUUGCCUCCGCACUGGCUGAAUGUCCUGGGUGGUUUACCGUUUAAAGUGGGCGCAUCUCUGAACACCUAACAGUCUGCACGCUUGACCCUGGCCCUCAUCUGAGGUCUUCACAGCACGGAGUUCAGGGCUGAACUGAUGUGCGGGAGGAGGCUCAAUACUAUGGAUUUUGAUGGACUGAUUGGCCUGCACCCCAUUGGCCAUCUGUUUUAUGACUCUCCUGGGGCAGACACUCUUCCUGAUUCGAUUUUUACUCCAUCAAGGAGGGACGCUGUGUGUGAGCCCGCUGUGUCAGCUAAAGAUCAAACUCUAAAUAAUGUUUAGUGUCUGCUCUGGAAGCAUGCAUGCUGAGCCUAGAUCCCAGGCUGGAGAGGUGAGCCUGUGAGAUGUCAGAAUGUCAGCCACCCCACGCAAGGGACACACACUGGGAGGGCCAGCAAAUCAAUUAAAAGGACAGUCAUUAGCACCUGGGUGAAGGCGGCUGAUGAAGGGGUAGAGAUUUUUUGCUCAACUGCAAGGUCAUUUCACCUCCGUCGAUCUAUUGACCGCUUUCAUCCCCGGAAUCAAACAAUAAAAUGUGUUAC